UUGCCAGACAACCCUCUACAUUUCUCACGGUUGACCUCGGAUCAGGUAGGGAUACCCGCUGAACUUAAGCAUAUCAAUAAGCGGAG
rnacentral:rRNA from 1 species